rnacentral:rRNA from 1 species
AUGCACGCUGGCGGCGUGCCUAAUACAUGCAAGUCGAGCGAACGGACGAGAAGCUUGCUUCUCUGAUGUUAGCGGCGGACGGGUGAGUAACACGUGGAUAACCUGCCUAUAAGACUGGGAUAACUUCGGGAAACCGGAGCUAAUACCGGAUGAUAUUUUGAACCGCAUGGUUCAAAAGUGAAAGACGGUCUUGCUGUCACUUAUAGAUGGAUCCGCGCUGCAUUAGCUAGUUGGUAAGGUAACGGCUUACCAAGGCAACGAUGCAUAGCCGACCUGAGAGGGUGAUCGGCCACACUGGAACUGAGACACGGUCCAGACUCCUACGGGAGGCAGCAGUAGGGAAUCUUCCGCAAUGGGCGAAAGCCUGACGGAGCAACGCCGCGUGAGUGAUGAAGGUCUUCGGAUCGUAAAACUCUGUUAUUAGGGAAGAACAUAUGUGUAAGUAACUGUGCACAUCUUGACGGUACCUAAUCAGAAAGCCACGGCUAACUACGUG